UUCGGCUCACUACAGCGUCAGCUUCCUUAACUUAUUGUUUUGACAUUUAAUAGCAAUGCCGGAGUUGUCUUUUAACCAAAACAUUUAGCGGAGGCAGUGGUCUGAGGGAGCGCAUCAGUGUCAUAAUGAUAAGAGUAUAUUGAAACGACUUUUCUGGUUAACUUUGAAUAAUAUACGUUUUUCUUCCUGGCCUUGACUGCAUUUUACACAAUAGUUCAGAAAACAAAAUUUAGUACAUACGAAGAAAAUUGUAAUUAAAAAAGAAACCCAAAAACUCUGCACAACCAAAGCAGAUUGUGAUCAUAUUUCACACAUUUCAAACAUAGAAGUUUGGUACAUAUUAAACUAACUUUUUCUCUCACCUGGAUCUUGAAAGACCAAACUGUUAGACUCAGUGAUAUGGAAGUGGCAGAAAGUCUGAUCAGGUUAGAUGGGCUUUGAUUGGCUGUUGUAGACUCUAAUUUCGAUAAUUUGAGGCCUCUCAGAGUAUAACACCCACAUACGAUCUGUAAAGAAUACAGUGGCUUUUGUUUUUCAUGCUCUGCCUUUUUUUGUUUUCUUGGUUGAUUGAUUUGUUAGUACGUUUUAUUGAACAUGGAUGGUAAAAUUAAGGCAGGAAGAAAUUCAGAAAGAAUUCUGUGUCGUAUGAAUAUUAUACAGCCAUUUUAAGCACAAGCAUUUCUUUUAGUUUUGAAGACGGAACACAUAUAUUCACGAAUGUAGUAAUCAAACAAAUUGAACAAACCUCUGCAGAACAGUCUGACUCCCGUCACAGCAAGAAGAGGAAUUCUGUCAAUAUAACUCAUUCCUGUACUGGAGAGCACCACUGCCUGCUAUUGAUUUGUCUGAUAUUCAGAACCUAGAUGAAGAGACUCCAUCGGGUGCCAAAACUGCUGCAAGGACUGAUGCUGCAGAAACUGAAAUGGAAACCUGAUCAGUUGUUUCAUAGCUGUGCAUCUGUUCCCAAGGAACUUGUUUCCAUUUAGAUGGGGUUUUGUUCCUUGGGUGAAUAAUAAGCAUGUUUUUGCGGUCUUGGAGAAACUGUUGUGGCAGUCUUUAAAAGCAAAUCUGAGUUGCCUUAGUGGAUAGGAUGGACAAUAUUGGGUACUUAAGAGGAAGCUAUCUGAAGGUGUGCAGUAAGGAGGAGCCAACAGUGUCUAACAGGAAUACUUGAAGACAUGGAGGCAGACUAAAAGAAGAAUAAGGAAAAUGAGAACUUCGGGAUGCAAUUAAAAGAAAUGGGGAUAUGUUACAUGUUGAAAUGCAGAAUUAUUUUGUCUGUCCUAAACAAAAAAAACGUGUGGUACCUGAAAGUGGAGUAUUUUAACAUGUGAUUUUAUCAUAAAGCACACAAACUUUUGUGAUUUCUAAUGUGUUCUUUUUUUUUUCUGUAUAAUAGCUAAACCAAAAAAUGAGUCCAUCAAAAUUGGACAAAACAUUCCCUUUUCUAUGCAAACCAAAAACCAAGUGUGGCAGAGAAGGGGAAGGAAAAGGGGCUACUUUCUGCUGAAAGCUGCUGCUGUUCUGAAAAGUUUCACAUUUUCAUUGUGAAAAAGUUUUUUCACCUUCUCUUUUUUGCAUUAUGGAUAGCAGUGGGCACCCCUUUUUUUAUGUUUUUAGUUCGUUCUAAAGUUACUGCUGUUUUUAGUCUUUGUGAUGUUGCUCUGAACCAGUUGAUAGGAUCUGAAUGACAGGUUUGGGCAGAUGUGUCAAGAAAAGUUAGUGCAAUAUAAACUGACCACACACACUUUUUCAAACUAUACUGAAGGAGGUGUGGUUUUUGCAGAGACUGUGAAUUUUGCAGAAAGUUUUUGCAGAAGUUCAUUCAAAUUGUGGUUUUUUGCUGUGUAAUAUGAACUUGAUGUUUGUGAUUUGCAAUUUAUUUACAUAUUGAAGUACAAUUAGACGUCUUUAAUAAUAGACUGAAGUUGUGUGGGAAGACUUACAUUUUGGAAUAUGAUUUGUCUUUAAGGACAGAAAACGUAUUUUUUCUGUAAUCACUAUGGAAAAAGGCAACUUUUGAAUUUUAUUUUUUUUCUAAUAAUGUGUUUGUUAAAGGACAAUAAAGUUUUGCCUGUGUGUAUGUGAAAAUUUUGUCACUA